rnacentral:misc_RNA from 1 species
UUUCCGUAGGUGAACCUGCGGAAGGAUCAUUAUUGUAUAACCGAGCUGCGAGGGCUGUCGCUGACUCGAAAGGUCGUGCACGCCCGAGUGCCCUCACACACAUCCCUCUCACCCCUUUGUGCACCACCGCGUGGGUCCCCCUUUGGCUUGUUCGCAGGGGGGCUUACCUUUUCACACAAACUUUGUAUGCAGUGUAGAAUGUAUUAUUUGUGUUUGCUAUCACGCAAUCAAUACAACUUUCAACAACGGAUCUCUUGGCUCUC